CUGAUUGAAUACAAUAAUAGCUACCUACCUAAAUUAAUAAUUCCACGCUGACGAAGUCGCGGGCAAAAGCUAGUAUAUAUAUAACAGUAAGCUACAGAGAUGAGCCACUGAAAAUAUCAUUGAUACACAAUUAGACACCUAACCUAUUUUUGUAAGGAUAUAUUAUUAUCACUGCCAAAAGAAGGUUAAAGGUGCCCUCUAGCGUUCCGGGAGUGGGCAGUCAACGUGAAAAAUGUUCAAAUGCUGGAAAGUGCAGGGGUCAAAAUGUCCAUACGGAACCGGCUGUCUAUGUGGCAAAAAGUAGGUAGGUUAGGUUCGUUAGGUAGCUUCAGAUGCCCGAAGGGCAAACCGCCGAGAAAUAGGAGCCCCGCGAAGCGGGGCUCCGUCUAGUUACGUCUAGUUGCAUAGACAGCCGGUUCCGUAUGGACAUUUUGACCCCUGCACUUUCCAGCGUUUGAACAUUUUUUAACGUUGACUGCCCACUCCCGGAAUGCCCUCUAGUAGUAGAAGGUAUUGUCAUACAAUGAAUGGUAUUAUAUUUUUUUUUUUCAUAUAUAUACUAUGGACAUUCCUCGAUGGCAUCAAGUUGCAACCGGAAAGCGAUGAUCACACGGCAAAUCAAAUCCUGAAGACUAUAGCAGCCACGUCAAAGAAAGAUAUCUACCUACCUACCUACCUACCUAUUAAAAAAAAUGUUUAUUCUUUCUCGUUUGAUAUGGAGUGCGCAAAAGAAUUGCACGACCUGAUCCCAGCUUUCCCUUUCCGGACGUCCAGGCGCGAGGAGCGAAUGCACCCGUUCGUUGUUAAUAUUCCAUUUGUCCGCACAAAACGAUUUGCCUCAUCUUUUUUGGUAAGGACGAUUAAGGAAUGGAAUGCGCUUCCGUCAUCUGUGUUUCCUGGGAAAUUUGACCUCGGUCUCUUUAAAGCAAGAGUGAAUAGGCUAUUACUUACUGAGCCGGUAAGCUCCAUCAUCUUAGGCUCUGUUUUCACUUUCCAUCAGGUGUGACUAGAGCCAAUGCCCGUUCAGUUUAUUAUAAAAAAUAUAUAUACAAAGAG